rnacentral:rRNA from 1 species
UGGGGAAUAUUGGACAAUGGGGGCAACCCUGAUCCAGCAAUGCCGCGUGCGUGACGAAGGCCUUCGGGUUGUAAAGCGCUUUCGGCGGGGACGAUGAUGACGGUACCCGCAGAAGAAGCCCCGGCUAACUCCGUGCCAGCAGCCGCGGUAAGACGGAGGGGGCGAGCGUUGUUCGGAAUUACUGGGCGUAAAGGGCGCGUAGGCGGCGGCGCAAGUUGGGUGUGAAAGGCCUGGGCUCAACCUGGGAACGGCACUUUAUACUGCGUUGCUGGAGUACGGGAGAGGGCAGUGGAAUUCCCAGUGUAGAGGUGAAAUUCGUAGAUAUUGGGAAGAACACCAGUGGCGAAGGCGGCUGCCUGGCCCGUGACUGACGCUGAGGCGCGAAAGCGUGGGGAGCAAACAGGAUUAGAUACCCCCGUAGUCC